AAGCGUUUAUGACCAGACUUGGGCUUGGUUAAUCAUCUGGGGUUCUCCCCAGUGCACUUUGCCGGGCACAGGCCAGCAUCAGUUUGCCGCGGGGGAUAAAGGCUUCGGGAACGUGGCUCCCUCGGGAGUGUUAUAGCCCGUUGCACAAUACCCUGGGGCGGACUGAGGUUCGCGCAUCUGCUAGGAUGCUGGCGUAAUGGUCAUCAGCGA
rnacentral:rRNA from 1 species